GACGAACGCUGGCGGCGUGCUUAACACAUGCAAGUCGAACGGAAAGGCCCUGCGUUUGUGGGGUGCUCGAGUGGCGAACGGGUGAGUAACAAGUGAGUAACCUGCCCUUGACUUUGGGAUAACUUCAGGAAACUGGGGCUAAUACCGGAUAGGAGCUCCUGCUGCAUGGUGGGGGUUGGAAAGUUUCGGCGGUUGGGGCUGGACUCGCGGCUUAUCAGCUUGUUGGUGGGGUAGUGGCUUACCAAGGCUUUGACGGGUAGCCGGCCUGAGAGGGUGACCGGCCACAUUGGGACUGAGAUACGGCCCAGACUCCUACGGGAGGCAGCAGUGGGGAAUAUUGCACAAUGGGCGGAAGCCUGAUGCAGCAACGCCGCGUGCGUGAUGACGGCCUUCGGGUUGUAAACCGCUUUCGCCUGUGACGAAGCGUGAGUGACGGUAAUGGGUAAAGAAGCACCGGCUAACUACGUG
rnacentral:rRNA from 1 species